rnacentral:rRNA from 1 species
GGGUUGUGAGGUUAAGCGACUAAGCGUACACGGUGGAUGCCCUGGCAGUCAGAGGCGAUGAAGGACGUGCUAAUCUGCGAUAAGCGCCGGUAAGGUGAUAUGAACCGUUAUAACCGGCGAUUUCCGAAUGGGGAAACCCAGUGUGACUCGUCACACUAUCAUUAACUGAAUCCAUAGGUUAAUGAGGCGAACCGGGGGAACUGAAACAUCUAAGUACCCCGAGGAAAAGAAAUCAACCGAGAUUCCCCCAGUAGCGGCGAGCGAACGGGGAGGAGCCCAGAGCCUGAAUCAGCAUGUGUGUUAGUGGAAGCGUCUGGAAAGGCGCGCGAUACAGGGUGACAGCCCCGUACACAAAAGCGCAUGUGUUGUGAGCUCGAUGAGUAGGGCGGGACACGUGGUAUCCUGUCUGAAUAUGGGGGGACCAUCCUCCAAGGCUAAAUACUCCUGACUGACCGAUAGUGAACCAGUACCGUGAGGGAAAGGCGAAAAGAACCCCGGCGAGGGGAGUGAAAAAGAACCUGAAACCGUGUACGUACAAGCAGUGGGAGCCCCACCACUAAGCCAGUGGUGAACUCCACAUACGCAUCCUUUGCUGAAGGUGCGGUUAACGGAGCGCAAGCGACGUUCAACCUCAAAAGAAGCAGAGGGGGCUUAGUGGUGGGGUGACUGCGUACCUUUUGUAUAAUGGGUCAGCGACUUAUAUUCUGUAGCAAGGUUAAC